UUUAGCUACCACUUGCAGAUGGACCCGCGGCGCAUUAGCUAGUUGGUGAGGUAACGGCUCACCAAGGCGACGAUGCGUAGCCGACCUGAGAGGGUGAUCGGCCACACUGGGACUGAGACACGGCCCAGACUCCUACGGGAGGCAGCAGUAGGGAAUCUUCCGCAAUGGACGAAAGUCUGACGGAGCAACGCCGCGUGAGUGAUGAAGGUUUUCGGAUCGUAAAACUCUGUUGUUAGGGAAGAACAAGUACCGUUCGAAUAGGGCGGUACCUUGACGGUACCUAACCAGAAAGCCACGGCUAACUACGUGCCAGCAGCCGCGGUAAUACGUAGGUGGCAAGCGUUGUCCGGAAUUAUUGGGCGUAAAGCGCGCGCAGGCGGUUUCUUAAGUCUGAUGUGAAAGCCCCCGGCUCAACCGGGGAGGGUCAUUGGAAACUGGGGAA
rnacentral:rRNA from 1 species